rnacentral:misc_RNA from 1 species
UCUCCGUAGGUGAACCUGCGGAGGGAUCAUUACAGAGUUCAUGCCCUACCGGGUAGAUCUCCCACCCUAUGUUAUUAUUACUUUGUUGCUUUGGCGGGCCGUUAGGCUCCGGCCCGACUACCGGCCCCGGCUGGUAAGCGCCCGUCAGAGGACCCAAAACCCUGAAUAUUAGUGUCGUCUGAGUACUAUAUAAUAGUUAAAACUUUCAACAACGGAUCUCUUGGUUCUG